CACAAGUGUCUUAGAGAGUUUUGUGGAAAUGAGGAGGGACAUACCGAGAUCUCAGAACUUGAAGAACUUGUCGGAAAGAUUGGUUGAUUUGGAAGAAGAGUUUUUGUGAUACUUACGUGGACAAGGGUUGGUCUCCGGUCAGGUAUGCAAUGUUAUUUAAAUAUAGACAGGGCUCACUACUGGACUAUGCUUUGAGGAAAGAAAAACUUUUAUUGGAGGUAAAUAAAACUAUAGAUAAACCUACUUUGAUUGAUCUCAUCGCUACAGGACUUCCAAAUUUUA